CUGGGUAGCUAUGUGCGGAAGGGAUAAGUGCUGAAAGCAUCUAAGCAUGAAGCCCCCCUCAAGAUGAGAUUUCCCAUAGCGUAUAAGAUCCCUGAAAGAUGAUCAGGUUGAUAGGUUCGAGGUGGAAGCAUGGUGACAUGUGGAGCUGACGAAUACUAAUCGAUCGAAGACUUAAUCAAAA
rnacentral:rRNA from 1 species